rnacentral:rRNA from 1 species
AGUGAACGCUGGCGGUAGGCCUAACACAUGCAAGUCGAACGGCAGCACAGUAAGAGCUUGCUCUUACGAGUGGCGAGUGGCGGACGGGUGAGGAAUACAUCGGAAUCUACUUUUUCGUGGGGGAUAACGUAGGGAAACUUACGCUAAUACCGCAUACGACCUACGGGUGAAAGCAGGGGAUCUUCGGACCUUGCGCGAUUGAAUGAGCCGAUGUCGGAUUAGCUAGUUGGCGGGGUAAAGGCCCACCAAGGCGACGAUCCGUAGCUGGUCUGAGAGGAUGAUCAGCCACACUGGGACUGAGACACGGUCCAGACUCCUACGGGAGGCAGCAGUGGGGAAUAUUGGACAAAGGGCGCAAGCCUGAUCCAGCCAUACCGCGUGGGUGAAGAAGGCCUUCGGGUUGUAAAGCCCUUUUGUUGGGAAAGAAAAGCAGCAGGUUAAUACCCCGCUGUUCUGACGGUACCCAAAGAAUAAGCACCGGCUAACUUCGUG